UAAUUGAAACCAAGGGAGAGGUGUGUCACUGUUAAUGACACUAAUGAAUGAAUUACAUUCCAA
rnacentral:tRNA from 1 species